rnacentral:tRNA from 1 species
GGUCUUAUAGUUUAUUUAAAAAUAUGAAGUUGCAAACUUUGAGAAACAAAAAUUAUGUUGAGACUU